rfam:Methanosarcina sp. MTP4, complete genome.
UAGAUAGGGGUCGGCGACCCGCUGGGUAUGCCGAUUUCCCACAUAAUGGCUUCCGGGAUGACCGGGAUAAGGGCUGCAGGGGACCUGGUUGCAAGGAUGC